rnacentral:rRNA from 1 species
UACGGAGGGUGCAAGCGUUAUCCGGAUUCACUGGGUUUAAAGGGUGCGUAGGAGGGCAGGUAAGUCAGUGGUGAAAUCCCCGAGCUUAACUUGGGAACUGCCGUUGAUACUAUCUGUCUUGAAUACCGUGGAGGUGAGCGGAAUAUGUCAUGUAGCGGUGAAAAUGCUUAGAUAUGACAUAGAACACCAAUUGCGAAGGCAGCUCGCUACACGAAUAUUGACUCUGAGGCACGAAAGCGUGGGGAUCAAACAGG